CGGUGAAAUGCGUAGAGAUAAGAAGGAACACCAGUGGCGAAGGCGACUUUCUGGUCUGUAACUGACACUGAGGCGCGAAAGCGUGGGGAGCAAACAGGAUUAGAUACCCUGGUAGUCCACGCCGUAAACGAUGAGUGCUAAGUGUUAGAGGGUUUCCGCCCUUUAGUGCUGAAGUUAACGCAUUAAGCACUCCGCCUGGGGAGUACGGCCGCAAGGCUGAAACUCAAAGGAAUUGACGGGGGCCCGCACAAGCGGUGGAGCAUGUGGUUUAAUUUGAAGCAACGCGAAGAACCUUACCAGGUCUUGACAUCCUUUGAAAACCCUAGAGAUAGGGCCUCUCCUUCGGGAGCAGAGUGACAGGUGGUGCAUGGUUGUCGUCAGCUCGUGUCGUGAGAUGUUGGGUUAAGUCCCGCAACGAGCGCAACCCUUGAUUUUAGUUGCCAGCACUAAGUUGGGCACUUUAAGGUGACUGCCGGUGACAAACCGGAGGAAGGUGGGGAUGACGUCAAAUCAUCAUGGCCCUUAUGACCUGGGCUACACACGUGCUACAAUGGACGGUACAAAGAGCUGCCAGACCGCGAGGUGGAGCUAAUCUCAUAUAACCGUUCUCAGUUCGGAUUGGAGUCUGCAACUCGCCUACAUGAAGCUGGAAUCGCUAGUAAUCGCGGAUCGGCAUGCCGCGGUGAAUACGUUCCCGGGCCUUGUACACACCGCCCGUCAGACCACGAGAGUUUGUAACACCCGAAGUCGGUGGGGUAACCUUUUUGGAGCCAGCCGCCUAAGGUGGGACAGAUGAUUGGGGUGAAGUCGUAACAAGGUAGCCGUA
rnacentral:rRNA from 1 species